rnacentral:rRNA from 1 species
CCCUCAAAUGGGGGACAACCCAGGGAAACUUGGGCUAAUACCGCAUGAGUGCAGCGCAUAAAGCACCUUUAGGUGGGUGUUUUAUGCGUUGCAUAAAAGGUAGGCCUUCGGGCUGUCGUUUGAGGAUGAGUCUGCGUCCUAUUAGUUAGUUGGUGAGGCAAUGGCUCACCAAGGCGAUGAUAGGUAGGCGGCCUUAACGGGUGGCCGCCCACACGUGGGAUUGAGAUACCGGCCCAGACUCCUACGGGAGGCAGCAGUCGAGAAUAGUCUACAAUGGACGAAAGUCUGAUAGUGCGACGCCGCGUGAACGAAGAAUCCCUUCGGGGUGUAAAGGUUUUACCUUUUAUAUGUGAGCAAUGCUUUUUAUGUGAAUAGCAUGAGAAGAGAGAUAUUAGCAUAUGAAUAAGCAACGGCUAACCCCGUGCCAGCAGCCGC